GACGGGGCCCGCACAAGCGGUGGAGCAUGUGGUUUAAUUCGACGCAACGCGAAGAACCUUACCAGGGCUUGACAUCCCCUGACCGCGUAUGAAAGUACGUUUUCACCCUCGGGUGACAGGGAGACAGGUGGUGCAUGGUUGUCGUCAGCUCGUGUCGUGAGAUGUUGGGUUAAGUCCCGCAACGAGCGCAACCCCUACGUUUAGUUGCUAACGCGUGAAGGCGAGCACUCUAGACGAACUGCCGUUGACAAAACGGAGGAAGUGGGAUGACGUCAAAUCAUCAUGCCCCUUAUGUUCUGGGCUACACACGUGCUACAAUGGCCGGUACAGACGGACGCAAAGCCGCGAGGUGGAGCAAAUCCUAAAAAGCCGGUCUCAGUUCGGAUUGCAGGCUGCAAUUCGCCUGCAUGAAGUCGGAAUCGCUAGUAAUCGCAGGUCAGCAUACUGCGGUGAAUACGUUCCCGGGCCUU
rnacentral:rRNA from 1 species